rnacentral:tRNA from 1 species
GGUUCCGUAGCUCAGGUGGAUAGAGCGACCGCCUCCUAAGCGGUAGGUCGGCAGUUCGAGUCUGCCCGGAACCACCA